rnacentral:rRNA from 1 species
UACGGAGGGUGCGAGCGUUAUCCGGAUUUAUUGGGUUUAAAGGGUGCGCAGGCGGCACGGCAAGCCGGCGGUCAAAUCGCGGGGCUCAACCCCGCCCAGCCGUCGGAACUGCCGGGCUAGAGUGGGCGAGAAGUGCGCGGAAUGCGUGGUGUAGCGGUGAAAUGCAUAGAUAUCACGCAGAACUCCGAUUGCGAAGGCAGCGCACCGGCGCCCUACUGACGCUCAGGCACGAAAGCGUGGGUAUCGAACAGG